CUGGGGACUAUUUAUUAUUGGGGAAGAUCAGAAAGAAUAAGGGCACUGGAGGCAGGCUCAGAAGAGCCUUAAAUGCUAAGAUGAAGCGUUGGUACUUUAUUCUGUGGGAGGCCAAGGAAAGUAUCUGACCAUGGAGAAUGGCACGACAAAAGCACUGCUUCAGUCAGAUAGACCGUGUCUGAAAACCUGGAUGGGAGGGAAAGAGUAGGCAGGGAAAUCAUUUAGGGUGGUUGCAGCCUCAGGGCCUGCCACCCCGUGGUGGCCAAGGGUAUGAAAGAGAGGCAUUGCCGAGGGAAGAAAUCAAUAGGUCUUGCGGACUUGGGUCUUGGGGUUAGGAUGGUCUCUUUUUCGGAAAUAGAGCUGUCAAGAUAGGAAGAUGGUUAGGGGAGAAAAAAGAUGACUGUUUAGCGGUCAUAAAUACAGCAUUUCAGAACUGAAAGGGACUUCGAGUCACUUAAACUGUCGUGCCUCAGUUUCCUCAUCUGUAAAAUAAAUAGGUAGGUCAAGAUGACCUCCAAGGUCGCAUCCAGCCCAAAUCCCGGGGUUGUAGGAAAGCUAGAGUAGCGCUAGGAGAGUGUCAGUGGUAGUGGUCGGGCCUGGCUCGAUGUGCGUUGGCUGUUUCUCUGCUGAGCGGUCCCAGUCGCUGAAGGCCUGCUCUCGCCUCGCGGCCACACCCGCACCUCCCUCCCCCCACUUCCUCCCCCGGGUCUCGGGGCAGCAGCGGCGGCGGCGGCGGCGGCAGAAUCAUGGCUGCCGACGCGGUGGCCUCUCGUCUGGAGCGGCAGGAGCAGGAUAUCCGCUGGCUAUCUGCGGAGAUUGGGCGCCUGAAGGAGCAGCAGCAGCAGCCAGGGCCCUGGCCGCGCUGGGCGAGCAGCCCCAGCCCGGAGCUCGAGCGCCUGCGGGGCGAGAACGAGAAGCUGCGCUACCGGCUCCAGCACUUGCGGCGCAGCCUUGAAGCUGAGCUGAGCCGGGGGCCCGAGCCGUCCCGCGAGGCCUCUGGAGUCCCAGACGGAGCCCCAUCCCAGCUUCCUUCUAUCACAAACCAAAAGGAUGUUCAGAGUAAAAAUAAAAAGGAGAAGAAAAAAGAAAAUGAAAUUGUAAAUGGCCUUAAGAGUGAGUUAUAUAGUGGGCCAAACUUCAUAGAAGAUAGACUGAUGCUUUAUGAAACAUUGAAGAGAGAGCAUGACACCUUGCUUGCAUAUAGAGCAGCAAACGAGAGCAAAUUGAUCAAAAUAAUGCUGAUUGAUGGAAAAAUAGUUGAAGGGGAGUCUUGGAAAACAACACCAUAUCAAGUGGCUGCUGGAAUUAGUCAAGGACUGGCUGAUAACACAGUAAUAGCCAAAGUAAAUGAUGAAUUAUGGGAUUUGGAUCGCCCAUUGGAAGAAGAUUCUACAUUAGAAUUACUUAGGUUUGAUAAUGAGGAAGCUCAGGCAGUAUACUGGCAUUCUAGUGCUCAUAUUCUUGGAGAAGCAAUGGAAAGUUAUUAUGGAGGCUGCUUGUGUUAUGGCCCACCUAUUGAAAAUGGAUUUUAUUUUGACAUGUUCAUUGAAGACAGAGGAGUAUCCAGUACAGAAUUUCCAACAUUAGAGAACAUGUGUAAAACUAUCAUGAAAGAGAAGCAACGUUUUGAAAGAUUAGAAAUCAAAAAAGAAAUCCUUUUGGAAAUGUUUAAGUAUAAUAAAUUUAAAUGCCGCAUCCUGAAUGAGAAGGUUGAUACUCCAACUACCACAGUGUACAGGUGUGGUCCAUUGAUUGACCUUUGUAGAGGUCCACAUGUAAGACACACUGGAAAAAUUAAAGCCAUAAAAAUAUUUAAGAAUUCCUCAACCUAUUGGGAAGGAAAGGCUGAUAUGGAGACUUUGCAAAGGAUCUACGGAAUAUCCUUUCCAGAUAAUAAGAUGAUGAAAACUUGGGAAAAGUUCCAAGAGGAAGCAAAAAACAGAGAUCAUAGGAAAAUUGGAAAGGAACAGGAACUUUUCUUUUUUCAUGAUCUGAGCCCUGGAAGCUGUUUUUUCCUCCCAAGAGGAGCUUUUAUCUAUAAUACACUCAUGGACUUUAUAAAAGAGGAAUAUCAUCGGCGUAAUUUUACAGAAGUCAUAUCUCCUAAUGUCUACAACAGUAAACUCUGGGAAACAUCAGGUCACUGGCAGCAUUACAGUGAAAAUAUGUUUUCUUUUGAUAUUGAGAAGGAAACAUUUGCACUUAAACCCAUGAACUGUCCAGGGCACUGUUUGAUGUUUGCUCAUCGUCCACGUUCCUGGAGGGAAAUGCCUAUCAGACUUGCAGAUUUUGGGGUCCUUCACAGAAAUGAACUGUCUGGAACUUUAAGUGGUUUAACUCGUGUACGACGAUUCCAGCAGGAUGAUGCACACAUCUUCUGCAGGAUGGAGCAAAUUGAAGAAGAAAUGAAGGGAUGCUUAGAGUUUCUACAAUCAGUUUAUACAGUAUUUGGGUUUUCCUUUCAAUUAAAUCUUUCUACACGGCCUGAAAACUUCCUAGGAGAAAUUGAAAUAUGGAACCAAGCUGAAGAGCAACUUCAAAACAGCUUGAAGGAAUUUGGAAAACCAUGGAAAUUAAACCCAGGAGAUGGAGCAUUUUAUGGGCCUAAAAUUGAUAUAAAAAUCAAAGAUGCUAUUGGCAGGUAUCACCAAUGUGCCACUAUUCAGCUUGAUUUUCAGCUACCCAUCAGAUUUAAUCUCACAUAUGUUAGUAAGGAUAGUGAUGAUAAAACAAGACCAGUGAUCAUUCACAGAGCUAUUUUGGGAUCAGUGGAGAGAAUGAUAGCCAUUCUUUCAGAAAACUAUGGAGGAAAAUGGCCUUUCUGGCUGUCUCCAUGUCAAGUAAUGGUAAUCCCUGUAGGGCCAACUUGUGAAGAAUAUGCACCAUAGAUAUCUAAGGAAUUUUUCGAAGCAGGAUUCAUGGCUGAUGUUGAUCUAGAUCAAAGCUGCACACUAAAUAAGAAAAUACGAAAUGCACAACUGGCCCAAUAUAAUUUUAUUUUAGUGGUUGGAGAAAAAGAAAAACUGAACAAUGCUGUAAAUGUUCGAACAAGAGACAAUAAAAUUCAUGGAGAGGCUUCAGUAGUAUCUACCAUUAGCAAACUGAAGAAACUAAAAGAGUCACGUACAUUAAAUGCAGAGGAAGAAUUUUGAAAUACCUCUCUUCUGCUGGGCAAAGUCAAUACUUGAAGACACAAUUCCUUUCUUUAGCUUCUAAAAUAUUCCUCUUGCCAGAGCUUUGUAUUACCUGACAAGAACAACGUAUAAGUAAAAAGGGAGAAUUUCUGUGAUUUGAUUUGAGUACCUAUUAUUCUGAAACAAAUGUAAAUUAUGCAGGUGUUUUGGCUGGUAAUAAAAGAAAACAAUUUAGGGAAAUUUUCAAGGAAAAAUGAUGGUUUGGUAUGUGUUUGUUAAAUAAAGGAAGUUUUUUUAAUUGGAAAGGGAAAAUAAUGACAAAUGUACAUUUAGUGAUAUUCCUGAGAGUUAUUUAAGUUUUUCAAAAGACAGAUGAACUUGAAAUAAAAGCCUGUGAAGCUUUUGGAUAUACAAA